rnacentral:rRNA from 1 species
UAGGGAAUCUUCCGCAAUGGGCGAAAGCCUGACGGAGCAACGCCGCGUGAGUGAUGAAGGUCUUCGGAUCGUAAAACUCUGUUAUUAGGGAAGAACAAAUGUGUAAGUAACUAUGCACGUCGUGACGGUACCUAAUCAGAAAGCCACGGCUAACUACGUGCCAGCAGCCGCGGUAAUACGUAGGUGGCAAGCGUUAUCCGGAAUUAUUGGGCGUAAAGCGCGCGUAGGCGGUUUUUUAAGUCUGAUGUGAAAGCCCACGGCUCAACCGUGGACGGUCAUUGGAAACUGUACCACUUGAGUGCAGAAGAGGCAAGUGGAAUUCCAUGUGUAGCGGUGAAAUGCGCAGAGAUCUGGAGGCACACCAGUGGCGAAGGCUCCUUUCUGGUCUGUCACUGACGCUGAUGUGCGAAAGCGUGGGGAUCAAACAGG